UAGGGAAUUUUGCGCAAUGGACGAAAGUCUGACGCAGCAACGCCGCGUGAGGGAUGAAGGUCUUCGGAUUGUAAACCUCUGUUGAAUGGGAAACAAAGGUAGCAAUACUUUGAUGGUACCAUUUGAGGAAGCACCGGCUAACUACGUGCCAGCAGCCGCGGUAAUACGUAGGGUGCAAGCGUUGUUCGGAAUCACUGGGCGUAAAGGGAGCGUAGGCGGGAUCGUAAGUUAGGAGUUUAAUACAUGGGCUUAACCCGUGGCUGGCUUUUAAUACUGCGGUUCUUGAGUAUGGGAGAGGGCGAUGGAAUUCCAGGUGUAGCGGUGGAAUGCGUAGAUAUCUGGAAGAACACCAGUAGCGAAGGCGGUCGCCUGGCCUAAUACUGACGCUGAUGCUCGAAAGCUAGGGGAGCAAACAGG
rnacentral:rRNA from 2 species